rnacentral:misc_RNA from 1 species
AUUUUGCUGGCUUCUCAGAUAGUCAGCUCCCCUUAAAUGCAUUAGCCGGUGCCCCGCGUGGACUGUCUAUUGGUGUGAUAAUUAUCUACGCUAUAGACAUCUGCAAUUAUAUGGGUUUGCACUGCUUCUAACAGUCUGUUAAUUCAGACAAUACAUGACAAUUUGACCUCAAAUCAGGUAGGACUACCCGCUGAACUUAA